GGUUUCCAAAGGAAGGGCUCUGUCAAUUAACUCCUCCUCUUCUGGCCCACUGUCAGUGGUCAGUACGAUCUUCUGCCAAUACAAACAGGAGAGCAGAAGUGGGGUGAGUGUAAAAACACUUUGGGCACUGCAACAGGUCCACAGAAUCCUCCUGUGGCAGUCAGGAUAACAGAAUGUACUUCCCAGCACCACUGGCCCAGGGAGUGAAACGUUCCAAAGUACCUGACAGGUGUGGGAACUUCAAACCAGGCUCCUGCAUCACUUAAAACCCUAUUUCAAAUUACUGUUUCUAAGCUGAAUUCACAGAUUUCUAAUCACAUUUUCAGGAAUGUACCUCCUUUCCACUAAAGAAAAUAUGUUUUAGCUACCUCUUGAACUUUGCAAAGACCUGUCAUGCUCCUAUGGAAGGACAGAACAAGCCAGAGGCCAAACUGAUUUAACUUCAAAAUGCAAUUGCCUCAGCAGAACAUCAGGUAGAAGAAACAAGCUCAGAUGACCUAAUACAUGAAGAAUUAAUUAUAAGCAGUUCUUUAAAAGAGGAAUCAAAAUCUGAGAGAGGCUAAAGGUCCUAAAUCACAAUUUUCUGAUGGUUCUGAUCUGUUUCCACAAGCUUGGGAAGGAAAAAAAAUCUGAAAUUUGCAUUUUAUAACCUUUGCUCAUGUCUGACUCUCUACAGAGGCAAGAAUUGAAGCUCCUUACAAUUCAGGAAUUAACAAUUACACACUGAAAUGAUGACAGCUGAUUGCAACCAGAGUAACUGGAAAAAGCAGUGUCUUGUGUGUGUGUAGAUGCACAUUUAAAAGCAAACUCAUUUAAAAACAACAACAAAAAAUAACAGUCUAAAGAGUGGUUUAGCAGAUCUGGACAUUUAAAGAUAACAAGCCUAAUAAACUGAGAAGAUUCAGAGAAUUAAAGUGUCUGUAAUUUCACUGACAGAGGGGAAAUCAAACCGAGCUGUGACCAUUUCAGUAGCUGAGGAACUUUCUGUUGUUGCCACAUUAACUGAUGUUUGUCUUGCUCAUCUGCAAACUGUCCUGUGACACCAGGAGCUUGUCCUGAAGGAAUGACAAACCAAACCCACUGUGUCCCCAUAUCACAGCCAUGCCAAACCCUGCAGAGGAAAGGGGAUGUGGAGAAUGAGAGAAGAAAAGCACAAAUCCCAUCUGUGUGACUGGAGCAGUGAGAUCAAAUGGGACUGACACACACAAAGUUCUCCCAGAAGGAAGAAAAGGCAUGUUCAUCCUGUGAUUUCAGAUCUUGUCCCAUGGAAUGCACCAGGAAUAGCUGAACACCAAACCAAAUCCCCUCACAAGCAAGAUUGGCAGCAUCCCAUUAUUUAAAAGCACAGAUAUGUGUAUUUUAUCAGCCCAAAAUAUGAAGAUAUCAGGUCCUAAUACACCUCAUCCAACCUAAAUGAUUACAUAUUGUAGAGGGAAGUCCCUCUAAACUAAAAGGCUGGCACUUCUUGGACAUUUGAAAAGAACAUUUACUUUGGCAUGGAAAGUGAUCUGGUUUGGAAUAUUGUUCACACUUACUGCACAUUUGUUCACGAGAUCCGAACCUGCAGUGGAAAGCAAAAACAUUAUCAGAAGAAAGCUCAUACAAUCCCAAGAAUGUUGAUAUAUGCUCUGAAAGAUCACCUAGCAAUGUGCUUCCUAAACCACUCCACGUGCAUGAUGCUUUUCUGAAAACUCAGGGCACACUGAAAUGACACUCCUGAGGUGAAGAGGUGACAGGUUGCUGCCAAGACUCUGAGACCUUUCUGUCCCCUUCUGCAUCACUGUCCCCACACCACAACUAGUAUUCAUCUAUGAAAAAAAUGAACUGAUGAAACUGCCUGCACAAGACAAGCUUAUUAAAAAGGAAAAAAAAAGGAAAAGAAUUGUUAAUAACUUUCUACUGGAUUAACAAGUUAGGUCAGUUCAUCAUCUGGUCAGAUGAUUAUUAAGGGGGUGGGAUUUUAUGGGUAGUUCCAUUAACAAACCCAGGAAACACUGGGCAAAGAAGAGAGGUGAGAAGGAGGGAGUGUACAGCAUCCUGCAGCACCAUGAAGGUGGAUGGGCUCAGACCUAUUGUCUAAUUUCACCCUGAUGUGCAAUCACCUUUAUUUUCAGAGCAACAGCUCUGUAAUGCUACACAGUAACAGUUUCUAUUGUGCAAGGCAAGUGAGGGAGAAAAAAACCCUUUUUGAGAAAAUUAAGCUGCACACAAGAAAAAAUUAAAGUGUAUUCCUGAAUGAAUUAAUAUAAAAAGCUCUGCUGUGUGGUGAUUAAAAUCUGACACAACAGAGAACAGAUCUGUCAGUGGCAGUGGAAUUGCUGAGAAGGGAUCAGCUAAAUGGGUAAAAUGUUUGCACUUUGUGGGAUCUGGACAGGAUUUUUUUCUGAACAUGUUUCUCCAAUAUUUGAGUGCCCUGAAAUCAGUCAGGCGUUUUCCAGCACUGACACAUCACCUGCCGUGGGAGCAAAGUGCCAUCUGGUGGCACCUGGACACAUCCAGCGUGUCCCCUGCCUGCUCAGGAGGAGCAGGACUGGCCUCUUGCAUGGCAGCAGCGACACAGGUGUGACAUGAGAAACUUCCACUUUUUAAAUUAAAACUCUUUAAAAUAAAAUCCCACGUUUAGCUAUCCACUUACUCUUCAGACACAGGGAUGGCACUGCUGGCCCACCAGUCACUCACCUUGAGAUUUGAGCGUGUAUUUGUGAGCAAUGACCGAGUCCAGAUGUGCUGACAAAAGAAACCUUUCAUUUAGUCAAACUCACCAUGGAGCCUGAGGGCUCCAACAGCUUCACCACACCCACAGAUCUACAACCAACCUACAGCAUGCACAUCCUGCCUUCUAUAAAAGAGGGAAUGUGGUUUUGCAGGCACACCCCACAUGGAACUCUAGGCAAAGCUGUGGGGAGUCAGUGUCAGUAAAAAUCACCCUUCCUCUUAUGCUCAAAGCCCAGUUCUGUUCCCAGAACCAAAAACUACUCACACAACACUUCAGGUAUCAUUUAAUACAAGUGUCUGUGCUGAGAGAAUAAAUCUUCCCUUUCCCCACCUGUGGGUCUCCCACCUGCUUCCCUCCAGAAAUUCCCAGCUGCCUCCAUCUCUCAUGUUCUCCAACAUCCUGCAUGAGCAGCCUGCCUUAAACCCUUAUCUGGCCUGUAGAGAACAUUCUCUUCCCCAGUGACCUCCACAAAUAUCCCCACAUUUGAGUUUCCCACCUGUUGUUUGGCAGAUCAAACAGCACAUCACCUGUUACAGCUUGAAAAACUCACCCUUUCUUCUGAGGACGAGGAUCCUCUUCUUGCAAACCUUCCAUUUCCAAAAUAUCAGCAUGGCCCCAAGAAGCACUGCCACAGAGAGAACCACUGCCCACAGCACUACACCUACAGCACAGAGAGGGAGCACAGAGAAAAGACAGAGGGGAAACCCUGAGUACAUCCAUGUGUUUGAACAGACAUCAUUUCACAAGUCAGGAGGGGAUUUGCAGGAAGUUCCCACAUAAAAAUUGUGUUUGCCAAAGAUACUUUCAAAUAAAAAAUGCUAGAGAGAGUAAGUGCUGUGUCUUUGUUACCUCCUGUUGUCAUCUCCCCCUUAGCUGAGGUGGGAGAAGUGCCAGCCUGGGCUUUCUCCUCAGGGGUCGAACUGGGAUUUUCAGUUGUUGUGACACUUAGAAGGUCAC